AGAGAAACCCCAUCCCUCUCUUUCUUUUUUACACCCCCAUGUCGCCACAUGAGAGGGAUUCGGGGGCGUAAAAGGAGAUCCUAUCAUUGUAUUACAAGAAAAGGCUGAAUAGUUAUUCCCUUCGCUCACCACUGAAUAGCCAUUUAUUCCCGUGUGAAGUAACAUUUUUUCCCUUUUCAAUUUUUGCCCUCACCUCUACCUAGAGAAUGAAGAAGCACUAGAACCAUCAUCUUCUCCCUCAGUUCAAUGUUAGAGCCAUCAAAAAGGAAUCAAGAGAUAUCGGAAUGGGGAAAUCUAGGACUUUGAGCACGAAGUGGCGGUGGCAACAAACUUGCUAGUUAUUUUAGGAUUGGAUGGUGGAACCACUUCUACUGUCUACAUUUGUAUGUCAAUUAUGUCUUUCUCUAACGCCCUUCCCAACCCUCUUCCUGUUCUCGCCCAUGCCAUCACUGGCUACUCCAAUUAUAACAGUGUCGACGAAUGCGUAUAAGUUAUGACUCUGUGAGAAAUAUGUCAAGCCUGAAGAUGUUGUAGGAGCAAAAGAAGUGAAGUCAAGUGACGAAAAAUUGAGUGAAGAUGAAUAUGCUGCCUCGGAUGAUGAGGAAAUCACCGAAAAAACAGAUCUUUAGGCACAUAUUAUGCCCUGCAUGCUCGCUACGAAAAUUGUCUUGUGUUGUACAUGAUGUUCAGCUCCAGGAAAACAGAACCAGGGAACAUGUGGAAAAAUCCUACUUACCCCUUUUUGUCAUUACUUUCCAUGGAUGUUUGUGUAAAUUAAUCCACUAUUGUUCAAUAAUUCAAAUAUUUAUCCACUGCUGAGACUUUAAAAAGCAAUUCUCCCAUAUCCUCCUA